GUAACCAUUCCCUGGCAGUUAGAAUUUUUUGAUUGUUGCUAAGGAAAUAUAGGAAUAGAGCUUCCAGAACAACGUUCCUCUAAUUAUUGUGUACUCCAUUUAUUGUUUCCAUCUGAGAUGCAAACCCAAAGAAGUCUUAACAGUAACAGCUAAAAAUUCUAACUGCCAGGGAAUGGUUACCAAAAAAUUCAAAGGCUAAUGUCCAAGGCUUUAUAUUGUCAAAAAGAAAAGGUGCCAAAAGAAAGCAAAUCUAACAAAUCUAUUUUGACCUUUGCUGGGUAUAGCGUAAGAUUCCAUAUACAUCUAUGAUUCCUGGAGGAAAAACAGGAUCACUUGCUGCCCUUACUGCAACCUUUGCCACUGCACUCACAUUGACAGGUGGAGUGAACAGAGGUCCAACAAGUGGAAGCUGCUUAAGUGGUUUUGCAUGUUGAAGAACCAUCUCCAUUGGAGAACCAAUCAUGCCUAGAGGUAACUUAAUGCUCCCUAAACUGCGAGUCCCAUAAAUAAACCCAGGCCUGAGAAUCACUCCUCCAUAAGGAAACUUAGUCAGUAACUCUGUUUCAGCAGCUCUCUUUCCAUCAUAAUAUCCUUGCAGCAAAUAAUUGGCCAAACCAAAGUCGGCAGCAGAGAUAUAAACAAAUCUUUUUACACCUUGUUCUGAAGCAGCUCUUAUUGCAUUGAUGUUUGCAGUUCCGUUAAUCUUGUACAUAUGAGAGUUUGAGCCAAAACCACCAACACAGGAAAUAAUGGCAGAAACCCCAUUAAGAGCUUCCUUCCAUGAAUCAGGUGAAAAAAGAUCUCCUUGAUGCCAGGUUAUGGCAUUAGCCCAAGAAUCACGUAUUGAAGACCUACCAGACCUGCUAAGGCUAGCAACCGAUAAACCACGAUCCAAAGCUUCUCUGCAAAUAUGAGAGCCAACAAAUCCAUUUCCACCCAACACAAGCAACUUCUCCGUUGGUGGCGGAGGGAUGUCUACUGUCUCUGCUUCCUCGACUUUGAACGGUUCAUCAACCUUACUAGAAUCAGUUGACAGAUACCUCCCAUUCCUCGAUGCAGCUAUUAUAUAUAGUCUGGAGAGGGAUGAUCUUGAAUUGAUCAACCGUGAAGCGGCCGUCGUCAUUUGAAAUAUAUGAUAUUAGCUUUCUUAAACUUGUCCGAUCAACAACAAGAGCUUAGGUUUUCCAAGGAUUGCCUAUGCCUUGAGCUCCUGCUCUCUUGAGUAUCUACCACUAGAAAAGUUUGGC
rnacentral:misc_RNA from 1 species